rnacentral:rRNA from 1 species
CGGGUGGUAAUGCCGGAUGCUCCAGUUGAUCGCAUGGUCUUCUGGGAAAGCUUUCGCGGUAUGGGAUGGGGUCGCGUCCUAUCAGCUUGACGGCGGGGUAACGGCCCACCGUGGCUUCGACGGGUAGCCGGCCUGAGAGGGCGACCGGCCACAUUGGGACUGAGAUACGGCCCAGACUCCUACGGGAGGCAGCAGUGGGGAAUAUUGCACAAUGGGCGCAAGCCUGAUGCAGCGACGCCGCGUGAGGGAUGGAGGCCUUCGGGUUGUAAACCUCUUUUAUCGGGGAGCAAGCGUGAGUGAGUUUACCCGUUGAAUAAGCACCGGCUAACUACGUGCCAGCAGCCGCGGUAAUACGUAGGGUGCAAGCGUUAUCCGGAAUUAUUGGGCGUAAAGGGCUCGUAGGCGGUUCGUCGCGUCCGGUGUGAAAGUCCAUCGCUUAACGGUGGAUCCGCGCCGGGUACGGGCGGGCUUGAGUGCGGUAGGGGAGACUGGAAUUCCCGGUGUAACGGUGGAAUGUG